GGGUUUAAUUCGAAGCAACGCGAAGAACCUUACCAGGUCUUGACAUCUUCUGACAAUUCCAGAGAUGGAACGUUCCCUUCGGGGACAGAAUGACAGGUGGUGCAUGGUUGUCGUCAGCUCGUGUCGUGAGAUGUUGGGUUAAGUCCCGCAACGAGCGCAACCCUUAUUGUCAGUUGCCAUCAUUAAAGUUGGGCACUCUGGCGAGACUGCGGUGACAAACCGGA
rnacentral:rRNA from 1 species